GGGAAAAGCUCAGUUGGUAGAGCACGACCUUGCCAAGGUCGGGGUCGCGAGUUCGAGUCUCGUUUCCCGCUCCA
rnacentral:tRNA from 1 species